UACGUAGGGGGCUAGCGUUAUCCGGAAUUACUGGGCGUAAAGAGUGCGUAGGUGGUUUCUUAAGUCAGAGGUGAAAGGCUACGGCUCAACCGUAGUAAGCCUUUGAAACUGGGAAACUUGAGUGCAGGAGAGGAGAGUGGAAUUCCUAGUGUAGCGGUGAAAUGCGUAGAUAUUAGGAGGAACACCAGUUGCGAAGGCGGCUCUCUGGACUGUAACUGACACUGAGGCACGAAAGCGUGGGGAGCAAACAGG
rnacentral:rRNA from 1 species